AUUGAACGCUGGCGGCAGGCCUAACACAUGCAAGUCGAGCGAGCGGCGGACGGGUGAGUAAUGUUUGGGAAACUGCCUGAUGGAGGGGGAUAACCACUGGAAACGGUAGCUAAUACCGCAUACCAUCAGAUGUGCCCCGAUGGGUUUAGCUAGUAGGUGUGGUAACGGCUCACCUAGGCGACGAUCCCUAGCUGGUCUGAGAGGAUGACCAGCCACACUGGAACUGAUACACGGUCCAGAGUCCUACGGGAGGCAGCAGUGGGGAAUAUUGCACAAUGGGCGCAAGCCUGAUGCAGCCAUGCCGCGUGGGUGAAGAAGGCCUUCGGGUUGUAAAGCACUUUCAGCGGGGAGGCGUUACCCGCAGAAGAAGCACCGGCUAACUCCGUGCCAGCAGCCGCGGUAAUAC
rnacentral:rRNA from 1 species